UGGAUCCAAAGAGCAACGUUGUGCGGG
rnacentral:piRNA from 1 species